UUGGAAUGUAUGUUCUGAGCAGAAACUAUUGGCGUGCAGCACUAAGCGCAGGGUUUCGUCGACGCCAUUUUUAUGAACGUUUCUAGAACUACAGCGUGGUGUGUUUCAAGAUAAUUUCAUGUGCACUUCUCAACCUUCUUGUCUAAAUGUCAUCUUUGGAGCUUGCUGGUGACAAAAGCUUGCAGCCUGUGUUCCCACGGUAGUGUUUCUCCAUCUUACACCUGGAAGUGGAAACCUUGAACAAAUGUGACGCUGUUUGUCCGUAAGUACUGCGAAAUGAGAAACAUCUGGUUUUGGAAGCACCAAACAGCAUGAUCGUAAUGUGUCACAAAGUGGUCCAAGAUGUCAUCACCACUGAUGUCCAAGGAUUGGCCUCCUACGAGCUUGAAUUCUCAUCUCCAAGACUGGAUGAACUCAUCUUGGUCAAGGGCAGGUCCAUGGCAACAGCUUUUGUCGCAAUUAGUGAUUACUAGCAAUCAGAAAGACAGCAUGAAAGAUGCUUGGUUUUCUUGAGCCCUUGGGGUCUCUCAUUCCACGAGGCCAGGCCCAAGUGACCAUAGUCAUGAAACUUUACUCCUGAUUGGCUAGGAUGGAACCCUCAUUUCUGGUCACUCCAGGCAAACUAUCCAGCAGCAAUAAAUUUUGUUGAAGCUAAAAGUUCCUCCAAUUCAUAAACAUGCAAGUCUAACAUUUCAGAUGUGAAACACUUCAUUUUUGCAGUGUUGGUCAUGGUCAGUUCAAAUAGAAAACAAACCUAAUCUGGACAGAAUGACGACUCAGACCUGUCAGUGAUUGGUUUAAUUUGUUGCCAUGGAUUUGCUCAAAAUGUUUACAUAAGAGUUGGUUUUGAACCAGGCACAUAUAACUUCAAAGAUUUGUAAAUUUUCCACUUUGCUGUCAUGGACUAAAUGUGUGGACAUUUACACAGCCGUCCAUUUUACUUGUCAAUCAACUUUUUGUAAUAUGUGAAAGUGAAUUUGUUAAUCCUGAAAAGAAUUUUACACAAUUCUGGUAUGUGCCUGGUUCGGUUCCUUUUAUAUUUGAAGUACUUAUGAAUAGUUUUAUACUGUGUAUAAAUCCAAUCUACACCAGCACAUCAUGAAAUUGAUUUCCUAUUUUAGUAGAAAUAGCACAGACUGUUUAUUGGUUAAUGUGCAUAUAAAACGUGAAUUACUUUUAGUCCAUUAAAGUACACACUUGAUUAAAGUAGGGAACUUCAAACCAAUGCAAUUUCCAGUGUAACAGUUAGGUCAAAAUUGGUGAAAAACAUAACUAGUUUUGCAGUUUUUAUUCAAAUGAAUUCAGGAGUUGCGUUGCAACUACAUUAGAAAUUUGAAUUUCUUAGAUGUUACAGAGGAGUAUGCUGCAAUGUUAAAACAACAUGUAGAGUGUUAUAAAUUGAUUCGUUUUCAGAAUGCCUUUGAUACUUUAUCCUUCUCUACAAAUUAACCUUAAGACAUCUUUUAAUUGUUGGCAUAUUUCGUGUUUCAUGACGUCAAAAAUCUUUUGCAUGACUUUUCUGAAUUUAUCAAAUUUCCAUCUUUUUCUUUUGGUCUUUGUACUUAGUUUCAAAAGUCAAUUAUUACCUUUAAAUAGUAGGAUGUGCUGGUGUAGAUUGUUUUUGCAUUGAUUGCUGAAUUAAAAAGUACAGUUUUUUGUUGUGUGUUUUUGUGUUUAAUUCACCUGCUGCCUAUUUUUUGAGAUUGCAGAAGACACAAUCGAUUAAAAGACAAAAACCAGAAAUUAAAUAGAUGUACACUGUACGUGUACUAUAGAUGGUGUUUAGAACAAAGCCUGUUUAUUUCAGUUGAAGAAAAAAAGGUCAUUUCAUCUCGUCUUCAAGCACAUGCAUUCAGAACAAAAAUAGGCAGCAGGCUUGUUUGUCCAUUGGUAUCACUGAUGGGGUGGGGGGAAGGAAACUGGGUGGGGUGUUUUGUAGCCUGUGAAUGCAUGAGAUGGGUCAUUUGUUUUUUAUUUGUUCUUAGUGAAGUAGCCGAAUUGUGAAAAUGCCCUUAAAAGUUCUUUGUUUCGUNAAUGGG
rnacentral:lncRNA from 1 species